CUACCCCUGGUGGAUCUGUGGAAUGCCUACAAAUUUAAUUGCACCAGGCGCUCUGCUGGACGACUGUAGACCCAAGAGGAGGUCUGCCAGCUAAUCCGGAUUGUGAUGGACAACCGGACCCAGCUGUGGUGGAGAAAACAUCUCCACAUUGACCUCCUGAACCCUGAGGGUUAGGUGGCUGUUUCAACAAUUGAACUGGAGGUCACAGGGGUGCAGGUAGGGC